rnacentral:tRNA from 2 species
GGCAUAGCUCAACUGGCAGAGCGUUGGUCUCCAAAACCAAAGGUUGGGGGUUCGAUUCCCUCUGCCC